rnacentral:rRNA from 1 species
GACGAACGCUGGCGGCAUGCCUAAUACAUGCAAGUAGAACGCAGUUUCGAACGGGUGAGUAACGCGUAGGUAACUGCCUCAUAGCGGGGGAUAACUAUUUGAAACGCUAGCUAAUACCGCAUACUGUGCGAUGGACCUGCGUUGUAUUAGGUAGGUGGUGAGGUAAAGGCUCACCAAGGCGACGAUACAUAGCGUACCUGAGAGGGUGAUCGGGCACACCGGGACUGGAGCCAGGCCCAGACUCCUACGGGAAGCAGCAGUAGGGAAUACUCGGCAAUGGACCGAAGUCUGACCGAGCCACGCCGCGUGAGUGAAGAAGGGUUUCGGAUCGGAAAGCUCUUUUGUUAGAGAAGCGGUAACUAACAAGAAAGGGACGGCUAACUACGUGCCAGCAGCCGCGGUAAUUC